CAAAAAAGGAAAAAAAG
rnacentral:sRNA from 1 species